UACGGGGGGAGCAAGCGUUGUUCGGAUUUACUGGGCGUAAAGGGCGCGUAGGCGGUCGUGACAAGUCACUUGUGAAAUCUCCGGGCUUAACUCGGAACGGUCAAGUGAUACUGUCGGACUAGAGUACAGAAGGGGCAACUGGAAUUCUCGGUGUAGCGGUGAAAUGCGUAGAUAUCGAGAGGAACACCUGCGGCGAAGGCGGGUUGCUGGGCUGAUACUGACGCUGAGGCGCGAAAGCCAGGGGGGCGAACGGG
rnacentral:rRNA from 1 species